UAACACGUGGACAACCUGCCCUUAGGUUGGGUAUAAACCCGGGAAACUGGGUAUAAUACCCGAUAGGUCUCGAUUGCUGGAAUGCAUCGAGAUUUAAAGCUCCGGCGCCUAAGGAUGGGUCUGCGGCCUAUCAGGGUUGUAGUGGGUGUAACGGACCUACUAGCCUACGACGGGUACGGGUUGUGAGAGCAAGAGCCCGGAGAUGGAUUCUGAGACACGAAUCCAGGCCCUACGGGGUGCAGCAGGCGCGAAAACUUUACAAUGCGGGAAACCGUGAUAAGGGAAUCUCGAGUGCCAGCAUAUAAUGUUGGCUGUCCAGAUGCCUAAAAAGCAUCUGUUAGCAAGGGCCGGGCAAGACCGGUGCCAGCCGCCGCGGUAACACCGGCGGCUCGAGUGGUAACCGUUAUUAUUGGGUCUAAAGGGUCUGUAGCCGGCCGGAUAAGUCUCUUGAGAAAUCUGGCAGCUUAACUGUCAGGCUUUCAGGAGAUACUGUCUGGCUCGAGGCCGGGAGAGGUGAGAGGUACUUCAGGGGUAGGGGUGAAAUCUUGUAAUCCUUGAAGGACCACCAGUGGCGAAGGCGUCUCACCAGAACGGACCUGACGGCAAGGGACGAAAGCUAGGGGCACGAACCGGAUUAGAUACCCGGGUAGUCCUAGCCGUAAACGAUACUCGCUAGGUGUCGGCCACGGUGCGACCGUUGUCGGUGCCGUAGGGAAGCCGUGAAGCGAGCCACCUGGGAAGUACGGCC
rnacentral:rRNA from 1 species